rnacentral:rRNA from 1 species
UACGUAGGGGCCAAGCGUUGUCCGGAUUUAUUGGGCGUAAAGAGCUCGUAGGCGGUUCGGUAAGUCAGGUGUGAAAUCUCCACGCUCAACGUGGAGCGGUCAUCUGAUACUGCCGUGACUCGAGUCCGGUAGGGGAGUGUGGAAUUCCCGGUGUAGCGGUGAAAUGCGCAGAUAUCGGGAGGAACACCAGUGGCGAAGGCGGCACUCUGGGCCGGUACUGACGCUGAGGAGCGAAAGCAUGGGGAGCGAACAGG